rnacentral:lncRNA from 1 species
ACCCAUUCUAUGAGCUCAGAAAAAUGAUGUCAUCUCUUGUAUCCAUUUUAUUAUCUCCCAAUUUCUAUUCUCAUUCUUUCAUAUCCAGAGGUACAUGUCAUCUGAAGCCUUGGGCCCUCCGCAUCAUAAAUCAGGAACAAAUCCAGGAGGGAGAAAGAGCAAAGGAGACAAGGACCUCGUUAAGAACACUAAGUUUCUGUGGAGAAAAAAGUGUUGGCUUGAACUCCUCGUGCUUUCUUAUGUAAUAAAAAAGUCAAGCAAAGGGCAUGUCUUGGUUCGGCUGGGACUCGGCAGACUGCCUGCGUUAUUACAGUGCUGGGAGUCUGAGGCUCUCUGCUCCUUGAGGAUUAUCAUGUGACUCCUCCCCAAGUGGAGUUACUCUCUGGAACAAAAGUACUUUUCCCUUUUAUUUUUUUAAAGUGCUGUAAUUGCUAACAUCAUGGGUCUGCCUCAGGAUGGUGAUUAAAAACACUCAUCUGACUUGGUCGGAACAGAAUCUCCAAUAGCUACUUGAUUUGUUUAGCUACAGCUGAAAUAUUUUGAUAAGGAAAAAUGGGAAACAGCUCUACAAAUAAACAAAGGUAUGUUCACGAGGGAAUCAAAACUUUUCCUUCAUGAGAAAUAAACUAGCAAUGUCUCUUCUUUUGAGCAGAGAAAAGCUCGCAUAGAAUGUGGUUUAUUGCACUAUUGAUAAAUUGAUUUUAAAAUUAGGUCUUAUGGAUGAAACAUAUUGACC